rnacentral:rRNA from 1 species
GCGUCCCCAGGUCAGGCGUGAAU